CCUACGGGUGGCAGCAGUGAGGAAUAUUGGUCAAUGGGCGCGAGCCUGAACCAGCCAAGUCGCGUGAGGGAAGACGGUCCUAUGGAUUGUAAACCUCUUUUGUCGGGGAGCAAAAGACGCCACGCGUGGCGUUCCGAGAGUACCCGAAGAAAAAGCAUCGGCUAACUCCGUGCCAGCAGCCGCGGUAAUACGGAGGGGGCAAGCGUUGUUCGGAAUGACUGGGCGUAAAGGGUGUGUAGGCGGUGUAGCAAGUUAGAAGUGAAAUACCUAGAGCUUAACUCAGGUGCUGCUUCUAAAACUGCUAUACUUGAGUGCAGUAGAGGAAAGUGGAAUUCCUAGUGUAGCGGUGGAAUGCGUAGAUAUUAGGAGGAACAUCAGUGGCGAAGGCGACUUUCUGGACUGUAACUGACGCUGAGGCACGAAAGUGUGGGGAGCAAACAGGAUUAGAUACCCCUGUAGUC
rnacentral:rRNA from 1 species